CCCGAGGACACCUCGAUGUGUAGUCUGUAAGGUUGGAGGGUUUCACUGUUCCCUACCUCUUCCUCUAUGUUUUGGUUGUUUCCACCCUUGCCAGGAGCGUUUGUUGGUAAUCCCGCUAUGUGCGAGCGAAAGUGGAGGAGGGGAGCUCAGGGACGUUCUCAGCUUCUUUUGUCUACUAGUUAAGGUGGCCGCAGGGGCUGUUUCAGCGGGCAACACCACAUUGACGCUGGUAUUGGACUAGUGUCGUGGAUCCUGAGGACACCUUGAUGCAUUUGUUCAGAAGGUUGGAGGGUUCACUAUCUCCUCUUCUUCUUUUUGUUGUGGUUGUUUCGAGCCCACGUCGGGAGCACCCUUUGUUAUUAACUGAUCACACUUCGUGGACCGAAGAUUGAGAUAGGAGGAGGGAGUGCGGUUGGGGAUGUUCUCAGCUUCUUUUGUCUACAGAUUAAGGUGGAUGCAGGGGCCGUUUCGGUGGGCAGCACCGUAUUGACGCUGGUAUUGGACUAGUGUCGUGGAUCCCAAGGACACCUUGAUGCAUUGUUUGGAAGCCUGGAGGGCUCACUGUCUCCUCUUCUUCAUUCUGUUGUGGUUGUUUUGAGCCCAUGUCAGGAGCGCUCUUUGUUCUCUGUUGAACCCACUUUGUUGAUCGAAAGUUGAGAAAGGAGGAGGGAGUGGGGUUGGGGGACAUUCUCACCUUCUUUUGUCUAUGGGUUAAGGUGGCCAUAGGGGCCGUUUCAGCGGGCAACACCACAUUGACACUGGUAUUGGACUAGUGUCAUGAAUCCUGAGGACACCUUGAUGCAUUUUUUGGAAGGUUGGAGGGUUCACUGUCGCCUCUUCUUCUUUCUGUUGCGAUUGUUUCGAGCCCAUGCCGGGGGUGCUCUUUGUUCUUUGUUGAACUUGCUUCGUGGACUGAAAGUUGAGAAAGGAGGAGGAGGAGCGGAGCUCAUGGAUGUUCUCACCUUCUUUUGUCUACGGUUUAAGGUGGCCGCAGGGGUCGUUUCGACAGGCAGCACCACAUUGAUGCUGGUAUUGGACUAGUGCCAUGGAUAUCGAGGACACCUUGAUGCAUUGUUUGGAAGGUUGGAGGCUUUGGUCGUUUCCCUUUUCUUCUCUCUGAUUCAGUUGUUUCGAGGCUUCAUGAGGGCAUAUCCGUUCUAACCUUGUCUAGUUUGUGCACAUCCUCCUAUUGCUCAUUCCCUCGAGGGCAAGGUAUAAAAGCUAACAUGGUUUUUAUAUUUUUGGUUGAAAUCUCCAGACAUAGUAAGGAUUGAUAGAUUGAGAGCUCUUUCUUGAUUCUAUGGGUGGUGGUGCAUGGUCAUUCUUAGUUGGUGGAGCGAUUUGUUUGGUUAAUUCCAAUAACGAAUGAGACCUCAGCCUGCUAACUAGCUACGCGGAAGUUCCCCUUCGCGGCCAGCUUCUUAGAGGGACUAUGGCCGUUUAGGCCAUGGAAGUUUGAGGCAAUAACAAGUCUGUGAUGCCCUUAGAUGUUCUGGGCCACACGCGCGCUACACUGAUGCAAUCAACAAGUUUUUCUCCCUGGUUCGAGAGGAUCGGGAAAUCUUCUCAAUUUGCAUCGUGAUGGGGAUAGACCAUUGCAAUUAUUGGUCUUCACCGAGGAAUUCCUAGUAAGCGCGUGUCAUCAUCUCGUGUUGACUACGUCCAUGCCCUUUGUACACACCGCUCGUCACUCCUACCGAUUGAAUGAUCCGGUGAAGUGUUCGGAUCACAUCAACGAGGGUGGUUCGCUACCGACGAUGUCGUGAGAAGUUCACUGAACCUUAUCAUUUAGAGGAAGGAGAAGUCAUAACAAGGUUACCGUAGGUGAACCUGCGGUAGGAUCAUUG
rnacentral:ncRNA from 1 species